UUGUAAAUGUAAAUUUGUAUAUAUUGAUUAGAUAUAUUGGAAUAAAAUGAUUGUCAUACUAUUGAUAUUAUUAGUUACAAAUUGAAUGGUAUUUAAUUUGUCCAGUCUGAUUACUGUUAAACUGACCAGUGUACCUGUUUGUCUAUGUUACCUUGAUUUCUAUAUUUAGAAUCUUAAUUAAGGCUAUAUUUCUUAUUGAUAGUGAUUUUGGUCACAUGUUCUUUUUGGAGGGAAAAUUCUAUUGUUCUGGACACUCUUAUUUCAACUGUCAUAGUGAGAAGAUAGAUUUCACAAUUUUGGAGUGUGCAAAUGGUCUUAUAUGAAUUAUUGUAUAGUUAUUGCUGAAUCUUUUGGGAAUUCAUAUUACUACUUUACAGGUUAAUAUUUGAUGUACAUGUAGCCAAUACACAUAUGAAGUCUUGUGACCUUCAAACUAGCACUUGAGGGUCUUUAUACGAGACAACCGUUUACUAAGACCUUUAAUAAAGAAUCCAUAAAACUACAACCGAGUCUUUAUGAUGCCCAUUUCCACCCGGUUUCAUAUACAAGCUUUGUUACUCGGCGACGAUGGAAAACUAACAUGAAUGUAUUGAAUAAUAAAUGUAUUACACUAACCAUGACUUAUUUUGGCUCUAAACUGGUGAAAAUACACAAUAUUAUUUGUCCCGCAAUUUUGUCGCAAGUAAACCCUGAGUUAUCUCCCAUAUAAAUAAAUCUAUGGCAGCCCGCAAUACCAA